UGCCUACUUAUCUGAAAAAGACUAUCAUGUGGUACAUACUUUUGUAUUGUUGAAUUGCGAAGAAGUACUACCUUUUGAAAGGAUUUUUGAUGAACAAGUAUACAACAUGUAUGGUGACGUAAAUGACGAGGAAUUGACCAAAAUUAAAGAAAAAGGGUUUGCUACGUGGUUAAAAGAAUAUAUUCGAACGUCACCAGAAGAUCAUCCAUUGUGGUUGCAUGAGCUAGUUCAAGGGCCCAUUUGUCGUGUUACAUGUUGGCCUAUAUUUUUUACCAGAGGCUACGUUUUCCACACACAUGAACACGGACAACAUCGUUCGACACAUAAUUU